rnacentral:lncRNA from 1 species
GGAAGAAGAGGGCAUAGGAUAUACUUGCCCAUGUACAUAAAAACCCAUGUACACAGAUAUGCGGUAUAGCCUUAUCUACAGUAAAAAUUGCUGAAACAACUUAAUGGUUCCCCAAAAAGGGAAUGGGUAAUUCAAACACGGCUACCACACAGAUGUUGAAAAGACCAAGGCAGACAUGAAUACAGAUAUGCGGUGCUUACCUAGAUGUACUAGUAACUCAACAGUCCACAGUGCAAGACAGGCUGUGUGGUGUACCCACGCCUGUACAGCUUUACACAUACACAGGUUCUCUGGAAAGAAACUGCAGCAACUGGCCAUGACGGUGGCCUCUGUGGGAAGGGAGGCUGGGGGUUAGAGAAAGAUGCCACUGAAUCACCCACAGGGUUUGAAGUUCAAACAUGUGCAGGUAUGGCUUUGAACAGUUUUCACACAUCUAUUCAUAGGUGAAAUUAACUGGAAGGAAACUAGCAAAGCAUUUGCCUUUGGGGUCAGCACAGGAGCAGAGGCCCAGGCAGGGCCUUGCUUUGACACACAGAUGAUGGGUCACACAGUUGUCACCUUGACAGAAGAGUAACAGGGACAGCACACCAGUCACUCUAGGAGCUGAGGCCAGAGGAACUCAGGUAUUUCCUUCUAGAGGUAGUAAGUCCACCGAGGCAGAUGCCAAGCCGGGUGGUGCCUCGCUGUGUACAAUGUUCUGCUCCCUGUGCCCCUAUGAGUGACCCUAUGAGGUAAGAGCCAGAGCCGGGCUCACACCUGAGCUCCUGGCAUGUGGCGGCCCUUUAGAAGACAGAAAGUGUGUGCUUAGCCCCUGAAGCAGCCACGCUGUGCCCAGCGGAGGGCAGGCGCAGACAGCACUCCUUCCCAGACCAGGAUGCCACUUAAGAUUUCAACAAACUAAACAGACAAGUGAAUAAAAGAUCAUUAAAUACCACUUUUUACAAAUGUCACAGACGCUUUCCUAGAAUAGUUUGUUUUUGGUUUAUUUAAUCUGUGUAGGGGAAAGAAUACCAGGAAUUAGACUCUGGGGCCUGCAGGACCCACUACUGUUUUGUGCUAAGCCAGGCACCGUGUUAUACUCGAUUCCGGUAUGGACAGGCAGCUGCAGCCACUACGCAGUUUUACCCCAGUUCCACGGCACAUGAGGAGAGGACCAACAUUAUUCUAUUUUGGCAGCACGUGCUUUCAACCCAUCUCACAAAACAGUGUCACCAACCAGAUGUGCCAAGAGCCAGAGCAGGUGAAGACACCUACAGAUGCUGCCUCCUCUGGACACUGCCUCUGGGUGCCUCAGCUCUGCACCCAGAGGGAUGCAAAAGAGAUCCCCGCAGCACACUUUGAGAUGGCUAGGAAACUGCAAAUAACCUCAAAGCCAUCACUAGAAAAAUGGUUAAAAUGACCAUACCAACACGUACAAUAUGACAUGUUAUAGAGCCAUAAAAAUAACAGUACACCUUGUAUGAUUCCAUUUUAGGGCAGAGAAUAAUAGGAUACAUUUUAGUACAUCCACAGCCAGAAAA